rnacentral:rRNA from 1 species
UGGGGAAUUUUGGACAAUGGGCGAAAGCCUGAUCCAGCAAUGCCGCGUGUGUGAAGAAGGCCUUCGGGUUGUAAAGCACUUUUGUCCGGAAAGAAAUCCUCUGGGUUAAUACCUCGGGGGGAUGACGGUACCGGAAGAAUAAGCACCGGCUAACUACGUGCCAGCAGCCGCGGUAAUACGUAGGGUGCAAGCGUUAAUCGGAAUUACUGGGCGUAAAGCGUGCGCAGGCGGUUUUGUAAGACGGAUGUGAAAUCCCCGGGCUUAACCUGGGAACUGCAUUCGUGACUGCAAGGCUAGAGUAUGGCAGAGGGGGGUAGAAUUCCACGUGUAGCAGUGAAAUGCGUAGAGAUGUGGAGGAAUACCGAUGGUGAAGGCAGCCCCCUGGGCCAAUACUGACGCUCAUGCACGAAAGCGUGGGGAGCAAACA